GGCGUCCGAGUUGUAAUUUGUAGAGGAUGCUAUUGGGUUGCCACCGGUCUAAGUUCCUUGGAACAGGACGUCACAGAGGGUGAGAAUCCCGUAUGUGACCGGCCAGGCGCCUUUUGUAUAGCUCCUUCGACGAGUCGGGUUGUUUGGGAAUGCAGCCCUAAAUGGGAGGUAAAUUUCUUCUAAAGCUAAAUACCGGCCAGAGACCGAUAGCGCACAAGUAGAGUGAUCGAAAGAUGAAAAGCACUUUGGAAAGAGAGUUAAAAAGCACGUGAAAUUGUUGAAAGGGAAGCGCUUGCAAUCAGUCUCGACGGCGGCUGUUCGGCCUCUCUUCUGAGUGGUUUAUUCAGUCGCCGCCGGGCCAGCAUCAGUUUUGGCGGUCGGAUAAAGGCGCGGGGAAUGUAGCUCCCCCGGGAGUGUUAUAGCCCCGCGUGCAAUACGGCCCGCCGGGACUGAGGUCCGCGCUUCGGCUAGGAUGCUGGCGAAAUGGUUGUAAGCGGCCCGUCUUGAAACACGGACCAAGGAGUCUAACAUCUACGCGAGUGUUUGGGUGUCAAACCCGUGCGCGCAAUGAAAGUGAACGGAGGUGGGAACCGCAAGGUGCACCAUCGACCGAUCCUGAUGUCUUCGGAUGGAUUUGAGUAAGAGCGUAGCUGUUGGGACCCGAAAGAUGGUGAACUAUGCCUGAAUAGGGUGAAGCCAGAGGAAACUCUGGUGGAGGCUCGCAGCGGUUCUGACG
rnacentral:rRNA from 1 species